AAUAAACGAAUUUCUAAGUUUUUUAUAGAAUUUUUGACUCUUCGUCUUAUUUGAAAUUUUUAAUGAUUAAUAUUUUUUACUAUUAUUACAUGAUAAAACAUGAAUAGUACUUUACGUGUGACUAAUUUUUUUAAUUUUUAAUAAAUUUUUUAAAUAAGACGGAUGAUCAAAAGCUCGACACUGGAAACUUAAAAAUUCGUUUAUU
rnacentral:pre_miRNA from 1 species